AGGAGGAACAACCCCAGUGGUGGGGCCAGCUCUGGAGCCCUGGAGUCAGCUCUUGCAGUAACUCCGGAGCUCUGGGUCUGCAGGGCCUGGAGGCUCCGGAGCGGG
rnacentral:pre_miRNA from 1 species